AGCUCCUGUAAACACCGGCUGUAGAAGGUCGCCAUAAUAAACUCAGCUUAUUGAGCAGCGGACGACCGGAAGCCAAGACCACUGUUUUGUAGAACCCGGAAGAAUGUUGCGCAUAAGGCCUAUUGAAGCUUCGAGCAUGAACCACUUUGGUGGUUCAUCUGGCUGAGAGGCUUUGACGUUUCAUGAGGCAUCAUCUAGGCACCACUAGUAGCGGGUGAGACAGCCACCACGCACCAUGCGACAAGCAGACUAUGCUCUGGUCAGCGGCGGUAAACGACCCCAAUAUAUUGCCCCGAUUGCGAUGAGGAUCUCGGCAGAUCUGUGCUCUGAGGUGAGCGGCAAAGGCAACGACCCAGAAGUGGAGAGAGUUCAGGAGGAAGGGCACGGCCUAUUUUUAUCCACUCGACAAACAAUGAUUGGCGAACGAGCCGGAGAGGGCGUGGUGAAACAGAAGCCUGUGUCUAAUGCUGCUAUCCAUGUGGAUGUACGAGGUCGCAAAUCUCCCAGCUUUCUUGCGGCAUUUCACUGAGGCACGCCCCCUUUCGGUCGUAGUAUCUCGUCGCUUUCAAAGUAGAGCGAGCAGAUCUGUACAACUAGCAAAGAAGAUGGCUGCGCCCGUAGUCAAUGGGGAUUGAGCUGUAUUUUCUUUGUAUUUGUACCACGUUGGGUUUUCUUCCCAAACUCGUCGGACACAAAUGGCAAACUGGAAGGCUGGAGCAAGGGAAAUACGUCAGGUUCUCGCUGAAGCUGGUCGUUCGUACCAGCCUACCAUCAAAAUGGAUAGCAGCAGCAGUGUUGCCUCAUACCACUACACUUAUAAUGCGCCUACGGGUAUCUGCCUCCCCUAUUCCCCGACCUGGAGAAGGAGUCCUCCUGCCCCUUGGUUCAAGCCCUGAUCCUUCAUUGUCGGAGCACCUGGAUCCUGGCGCGCACUGCUCUCUCCAAGUCUGCAGAUCGCCAAGCUGCUGCUGCAUACAAACCCUGCACGCCGACGCCUGCCUAUCAACUUGGCCAGAAGGUCUGGCUCUCCACCCGUGACCUGCCCCUUAAAGUAGAGAUUCGCAAGCUUGGCCCCAAGUUCAUAGGACCAUUUCCCAUAACCUGCAUCAUAAACCCAGAGGCGGUACGCCUUCAGCGUCCUCAUUCCAUGAGGAUCCACCCAACCUUCCAUGUCUGCAGGGUCAAGCCCGUCGAGGAAAGACCUCUGGCUCCUCCCGUUCCGCCCCCUCUUCCCCCUCAGCUUGUCGACGGAGGCCCGGUGUUUACUGUCCGGCGUCACCUCCGCUCCCGCUGCCGUGGACAUGGGGUCCAGUAUCUGGUGGAUUGGGAGGGGUACGGUCCGGAGGAGAGAGCUUUCCCGCAACUCCUGAACUGUAUCUACAACGCUGAUCCUGCCUGUUUCCGAACCCUCGCCUGUCUGACCACCCGCCUGUUGCCGAGUCCCUGCCAGCCUGUCUGCUUCCCUGUUUCCUGCUCCUCGCCUGCCUGUCUGCCCUCCCGUUGCCGACCCCUCGCCUGUCUGACCACCACGUUGUCGAGUCCCUGCCUGCCUUAGCUUUUAAAACGAGAGCUUGUACAUUGUGAAAAUACAUUAAAUGUGAGCAGACAACCUAGUUAGCUACAAUAGACCCUAGUGAAUCUGUGGUAUAAAUGCUGGGACAAAUGUCAAAGUAUAAAUAUGUAAAACUUAAUGUUGAAAGUACAGACUGUCGCAUUUUCCCAUUGAAACGAACGGCGCGGUGCUUAGCCUUCAAAACGAGAGCUUGACAAUUUU
ensembl:lncRNA